rnacentral:rRNA from 1 species
AUACGUAUGUCGCAAGCGUUAUCCGGAUUUAUUGGGCGUAAAGCGCGUCUAGGCGGCUUAGUAAGUCUGAUGUGAAAAUGCGGGGCUCAACCCCGUAUUGCGUUGGAAACUGCUAAACUAGAGUACUGGAGAGGUAGGCGGAACUACAAGUGUAGAGGGGAAAUUCGUAGAUAUUUGUAGGAAUGCCGAUGGGGAAGCCAGCCUACUGGACAGAUACUGACGCUAAAGCGCGAAAGCGUGGGUAGCAAACAGGAUUAGAUACCCUGGUAAUCCACGCCGUAAACGAUGAUUACCAGGUGUUGGGGGUCGAACCUCAGCGCCCAAGCUAACGCGAUAAGUAAUCCGCCUGGGGAGUACGUACGCAAGUAUGAAACUUAAAGGAAUUGACGGGG